AACGAACGCUGGCGGCAUGCCUAACACAUGCAAGUCGAACGAGACCUUCGGGUCUAGUGGCGCACGGGUGCGUAACGCGUGGGAACCUGCCCUUAGGUUCGGAAUAACUCAGAGAAAUUUGAGCUAAUACCGGAUGAUGUCUUCGGACCAAAGAUUUAUCGCCUUUAGAUGGGCCCGCGUUGGAUUAGCUAGUUGGUGGGGUAAAGGCCUACCAAGGCGACGAUCCAUAGCUGGUCUGAGAGGAUGAUCAGCCACACUGGGACUGAGACACGGCCCAGACUCCUACGGGAGGCAGCAGUGGGGAAUAUUGGACAAUGGGCGAAAGCCUGAUCCAGCAAUGCCGCGUGAGUGAUGAAGGCCUUAGGGUUGUAAAGCUCUUUUACCCGAGAUGAUAAUGACAGUAUCGGGAGAAUAAGCUCCGGCUAACUCCGUG
rnacentral:rRNA from 1 species